UACGAAGGGGGCUAGCGUUGCUCGGAAUUACUGGGCGUAAAGCGCACGUAGGCGGAUUGUUAAGUCGGGGGUGAAAUCCUGGAGCUCAACUCCAGAACUGCCUUCGAUACUGGCGAUCUAGAGUCUGGGAGAGGUGAGUGGAACUGCGAGUGUAGAGGUGAAAUUCGUAGAUAUUCGCAAGAACACCAGUGGCGAAGGCGGCUCACUGGCCCGGUACUGACGCUGAGGUGCGAAAGCGUGGGGAGCAAACAGG
rnacentral:rRNA from 1 species